GACGAACGCUGGCGGCGUGCUUAACACAUGCAAGUCGAACGGAAAGGCCCUGCUUGCAGGGUACUCGAGUGGCGAACGGGUGAGUAACACGUGGGUGAUCUGCCCUGCACUUCGGGAUAAGCCUGGGAAACUGGGUCUAAUACCGGAUAGGAGCCAUUUUUAGUGUGAUGGUUGGAAAGUUUUUUCGGUGUAGGAUGAGCUCGCGGCCUAUCAGCUUGUUGGUGGGGUAAUGGCCUACCAAGGCGGCGACGGGUAGCCGGCCUGAGAGGGUGGACGGCCACAUUGGGACUGAGAUACGGCCCAGACUCCUACGGGAGGCAGCAGGGGGGAAUAUUGCACAAUGGGCGCAAGCCUGAUGCAGCGACGCCGCGUGGGGGAUGACGGCCUUCGGGUUGUAAACUCCUUUCGCUAGGGACGAAGCUUUUUGUGACGGUACCUAGAGAAAAAGCACCGGCUAACUACGUG
rnacentral:rRNA from 1 species